GACAGAGGUGCCGAGCGUUAGGCGGAAUCACUGGGCUUAAAGCGUGUGUAGGCGGGCGGGCAAGUACCUUGUGAAAUCCCACGGCUCAACCGUGGAACUGCUGGGUAUACUGCCUGUCUUGAGCCAGCCAGGGGCAGUCGGAACAGACGGUGGAGCGGUGAAAUGCGUAGAUAUCGUCUGGAACGCCAAAGGUGAAAACAGACUGCUGGGGCUGUGCUGACGCUGAGGCGCGAAAGCCAGGGGAUCAAACGGG
rnacentral:rRNA from 1 species